UGGGGAAUUUUGGACAAUGGGCGAAAGCCUGAUCCAGCAAUGCCGCGUGUGUGAAGAAGGCCUUCGGGUUGUAAAGCACUUUUGUCCGGAAAGAAAUCCUUGGCUCUAAUACANUCGGGGGAUGACGGUACCGGAAGAAUAAGCACCGGCUAACUACGUGCCAGCAGCCGCGGUAAUACGUAGGGUGCAAGCGUUAAUCGGAAUUACUGGGCGUAAAGCGUGCGCAGGCGGUUUGCUAAGACCGAUGUGAAAUCCCCGGGCUCAACCUGGGAACUGCAUUGGUGACUGGCAGGCUAGAGUAUGGCAGAGGGGGGUAGAAUUCCACGUGUAGCAGUGAAAUGCGUAGAGAUGUGGAGGAAUACCGAUGGCGAAGGCAGCCCCCUGGGCCAAUACUGACGCUCAUGCACGAAAGCGUGGGGAGCAAACAGGAUUAGAUACCCUGGUAGUCCACGCCCUAAACGAUGUCAACUAGUUGUUGGGGAUUCAUUUCCUUAGUAACGUAGCUAACGCGUGAAGUUGACCGCCUGGGGAGUACGGUCGCAAGAUUAAAACUUAAAUGAAUUGACGGGGUCAUAGCUGUUUCCU
rnacentral:rRNA from 1 species